UGCAAGUCGAACGGUGUCUUCGGACAUAGUGGCGGACGGGUGAGUAACGCGUGAGAAUCUGCCUUCAGGUUGGGGACAACAGUUGGAAACGACUGCUAAUACCCAAUGUGCCGAGAGGUGAAAGCUUUAGUGCCUGAAGAUGAGCUCGCGUCUGAUUAGCUAGUUGGUGGGGUAAUGGCUUACCAAGGCGACGAUCAGUAGCUGGUCUGAGAGGAUGAUCAGCCACACUGGGACUGAGACACGGCCCAGACUCCUACGGGAGGCAGCAGUGGGGAAUUUUCCGCAAUGGGCGCAAGCCUGACGGAGCAAGACCGCGUGAGGGAGGAAGGCUCUUGGGUUGUAAACCUCUUUUAUCAGGGAAGAAGAUCUGACGGUACCUGAUGAAUCAGCAUCGGCUAACUCCGUGCCAGCAGCCGCGGUAAUACGGAGGAUGCAAGCGUUAUCCGGAUUUAUUGGGCGUAAAGCGUCCGCAGGUGGUUUUUCAAGUCUGCUGUUAAAGCGCGAGGCUUAACUUCGUAACGGCGGUGGAAACUGAGAGACUAGAGUAUGGUAGGGGUAGCGGGAAUUCCCAGUGUAGCGGUGAAAUGCGUAGAUAUUGGGAAGAACACCAGCGGCGAAAGCGCGCUACUGGGCCAUAACUGACACUCAUGGACGAAAGCUAGGGGAGCGAAAGGGAUUAGAUACCCCUGUAGUCCUAGCUGUAAACGAUGGGUACUAGGUGUUGACCGUAUCGACCCGGUCAGUGCCGUAGCUAACGCGUUAAGUACCCCGCCUGGGGAGUAUGCACGCAAGUGUGAAACUCAAAGGAAUUGACGGGGGCCCGCACAAGCGGUGGAGUAUGUGGUUUAAUUCGAUGCAACGCGAAGAACCUUACCAGGGCUUGACAUGUCGCGAAUCCCGGUGAAAGUCGGGAGUGCCUUCGGGAGCGGCGAACACAG
rnacentral:rRNA from 1 species